CAAGAUUGUGUGACCCAUAUUCUUCCUGUCAUUGUUAAUUUUUCACAGGAUAAGUCUUGGCGCGUUCGUUAUAUGGUUGCAAAUCAAUUAUAUGAGCUGUGUGAAGCUGUUGGUCCAGAA